UGCGCAGGCGGGUUAUUAAGUCAGUGGUGAAAUCUCUCGGCUCAACCGAGAAACUGCCAUUGAAACUGAUAAUCUUGAGUAUAGUUGUAGUAGGCGGAAUAUAGCAUGUAGCGGUGAAAUGCUUAGAUAUGCUAUAGAACACCGAUCGCGAAGGCAGCUUACUAAACUAUUACUGACGCUCAUGCACGAAAGCGUGGGGAGCAAACAGGAUUAGAUACCCUGGUAGUC
rnacentral:rRNA from 1 species